rnacentral:rRNA from 1 species
AGCGAACGCUGGCGGCAGGCCUAACACAUGCAAGUCGAGCGAAGCCUUCGGGCUUAGUGGCGGACGGGUGAGUAACACGUGGGAACGUACCUUUUGGUUCGGAACAACUCAGGGAAACUUGAGCUAAUACCGGAUGAGCCCUUAGGGGGAAAGAUUUAUCGCCGAAAGAGCGGCCCGCGUUAGAUUAGCUAGUUGGUGAGGUAAAGGCUCACCAAGGCAACGAUCUAUAGCUGGUCUGAGAGGAUGAUCAGCCACACUGGGACUGAGACACGGCCCAGACUCCUACGGGAGGCAGCAGUGGGGAAUCUUGCGCAAUGGGCGAAAGCCUGACGCAGCCAUGCCGCGUGAAUGAUGAAGGUCUUAGGAUUGUAAAAUUCUUUUACCAGGGACGAUAAUGACGGUACCUGGAGAAAAAGCCCCGGCUAACUUCGUGCCAGCCGCCGCCGUAAGAC